UAGCUCUCACUCGCUCGCUGACCCGUUCCUCGCAUAACCAUAACUCGGAUCUUCGACUCGUUCCCUCCCAGCCCGAGCCACCCAACUCGCUCAUCAUGGCGCGGGCACACAGUCACCUCCUUCUCCUCAUCACCACCACCAUUUUCUCCCUCGCUCCUUGCUGCGUUGCCGGCGACCCCCUGCUCCUCCGCAACAGCCAUCGAAGCUCCCACACCGCAAUGGUCCUUCCAUUGUACCUCUCUCCACCGAAUUCCUCCACCUCAGCGCUCGAUCCUCGUCGCCAGCUUCAGGGAUCCGAGUCCCAGCGCCACCCUAACGCUCGCAUGAGGCUCCACGACGAUCUCCUCCUCAAUGGGUAAAUCAACCUCUUCCACCAUCGCAACAAAUACAUUUUGCUUCCUUUUAUUUUCGUUUAUUUUAUUUAUUGUGAUUCNNNGAGCACAGUUACGUAUGUUCCUUGCUCCACUUGCGAACAGUGUGGCAGCCACCAGGAUCCGAAGUUCCAGCCAGACUCAUCAAGCACUUAUCAAGCUGUCAAAUGUACAUUGGAUUGCAACUGUGACACUGACAAGAACCAAUGUGUGUAUGAGAGACAGUAUGCUGAAAUGAGUUCUAGCAGUGGUGUCCUUGGCGAGGAUGUCAUAUCCUUUGGAAAUCAGAGUGAGCUUUCCCCACAGCGAGCUGUUUUUGGUUGUGAAACUGUUGAGACUGGUGAUCUUUAUAGCCAGCAUGCUGAUGGCAUCAUGGGAUUGGGCCGUGGAGAUCUUAGCAUCAUGGAUCAACUAGUUGAUAAAAAUGUAAUAAGUGAUUCAUUCUCUCUAUGCUAUGGUGGAAUGGAUGUUGGUGGAGGCGCAAUGGUUCUUGGUGGCAUAUCUCCCCCAUCGGGCAUGGUCUUUGCAAAUUCAGAUCCUGUGCGAAGCCCAUAUUACAAUAUCGAUUUGAAGGAGAUACAUGUUGCGGGGAAGAAACUGCCUCUAGACCCACAGGUUUUUGAUAAGAAACAUGGAACUGUCUUGGAUAGUGGUACGACUUAUGCUUACCUACCAGAAGCUGCAUUUCAUGCAUUUAAAGACGCUAUUGAGAGGGAACUUAAUUCAUUCAAGCAAAUCAGUGGUCCAGAUCCAAAUUACAAUGAUAUAUGUUUUUCUGGUGCUGGAAGUGAUGUUUCUCAACUCUCGAAAAGCUUUCCAGUGGUUGACAUGGUAUUUGGAAAUGGUAUGAAGUAUUCACUGUCACCUGAAAAUUACAUGUUCCGGCAUUCAAAAGUGCGAGGUGCUUAUUGUCUAGGGGUAUUCCAGAAUGGAAAGGAUCCAACUACUCUUUUAGGAGGUAUCGUUGUCCGAAACACUCUUGUUACAUAUGAUCGUGAGCAUACAAAAAUUGGUUUCUGGAAAACUAAUUGUGCUGAGUUGUGGGAAAGAUUACAAGUCUCCAAUGCCUCACCGUUGAUGCCUCCAAAUUCAGGAGUAACAAAUUCUUCCCAAACAUUUGAACCUUCGGUUGCUCCAUCUGCAUCACAGCAUAAUGCACCUCCAGGUGAAAUCCAAAUUGCACAAAUAACACUUGCAAUUUCAUUUAACAUCAGCUACGUGGAUAUGAAGCCUCGCAUUCCUGAAUUGACUGGGCUCAUUGCUCAUGGGUUAGAUGUUAAUACUUCUCAGGUUCACUUGCUGAAUUUGACUUCUUUUGGAAGUUAUUCCAUAUCUAGAUGGGCCAUAACCCCGAGUGCACAUGCAAGUUACAUUUCUAACACAACUGCAAAGAAUAUAAUUGGCCGGCUUGCUGAACACCAUGUGCAACUUCCUGGCACCUUUGGGAGUUAUAAGUUGAUUCAUUGGAAUGUUGAGCCUUCAUCAAAACGGAAUUGGUGGCAGCAAUACUAUUGGGUUGUGGGUUUAGCCGUUUUGAUCGCAUUGCUUAUAGGAUUAUCGGCAUUUGGAAUAUUCGUAAUUUGGAAAAGAAGACAGGAAAGCGCACAUACUUACAAGCCAGUGAAUGCGGCUGUUCCAGAGCAAGAACUACAGCCAUUAUGAGCUAUAUAUAUAAUGUUAUGCAGCUGCUGCUUGCUAUCUUUGCUUGAUUGGUGUCAGUAGCAUAUCCAACUUCUAUCAAGGCUCAAUUUGUGCAAACCUGGUCAAUCAACUGAUUAGAUUUUUUUUUUAACAACGAUUAUUCUGCUCACGAUAACCAGUGAUCAUUGAAUUCUGAUAGAGGCACAGAAAAUUCUCUAGAUAUUCCAUCAUCUGUAAAACGCUAUUUUCUUUUUCUUCUUAUUUUUGUGAAUAUUGUAAUAUACAGGUGAAUGAUACAGUGGCAGCAUACAGUUGAGAUGCAAUUUCAUAUAUUGUAAUUUUUGCAUUUCUAUU